rnacentral:misc_RNA from 1 species
AUGACCCCUACAACCCCAUCAGGAGGGGAUCCCAGGCAGCCUUCUAUCACUUGUACUAAUCAGCUGUUGAAUAAAAACAUCACCUGGGGGAGUACAGCAGUGAGUUCCUUAUUUCAAACUGACAUAGGAAUGGCUGCUGAGGAACGGUCAUCAGGAGGCUCUUCACCAUCAGAGGCCCUGGAAGUCACUGAACAAUUUGGAAGUGUGACAGUGGAGAGACACGUGCCCAGGAUUAACUGCCCUGAACACAUUAUCUUGGUGGUUGAUGUGUGCAGAGAAGAUGGAAAUACCUCGUACAAGCUGGCUGAUGGUUCAAAGUUUUCAUCCUUGUACAUGGUGAAGCGAGCCAUCACUCUCUUCCUCCAGAACAAACAUGCAAUAGAUUCCAGGCACAAGUUUGCCUUAGUGGUGCUUCAUGAGUCACCAAUAUGGCUGCACGACUUCACAAAUAACCCAAGGGAGAUAAUGUCAGAGCUAGAUGAAUUAGAAGAUGCUGUAGCCACAAGUCGUUGUGAUCUGAGUCUUUUGUUUGACCUUAUUGCACGCCAGAUCUCUCUACCUCAGUGUUCCAACCCAGCAGUUGCUCCUCCCCCAUGUGUCUUCCGAACUAUUGUGUUUUAUGGAAGGUCACAGUGCCUGCCACAGUUUCUUGGGGGUAAAGCUGUGUUUACACACCUCAUUCAGAGCCCACAUUUUUUCCUAGAUGUUUUAUAUAUGCAUGAGGCUCCUUCAGAUGAAAACAAAUGUGAGAGACGCAACACGACACGUUAUUAGAUGCCUUCAGGUGCUGAGUAGGGAGCAGCUUGUAUUAGAAGUGCCAUUUGACUUUGGACUCUGUUUGAAAGGUAUAUUUGACCUCCUGUGUGGCUUGGACGAGAGUGGCUGGAGUUACGUUCUUGAAGUGUCCCGUAAUGCAACCAAGCUCCACAACCACUGUGGGAGUCUUCUGGCACACCCACUUCAACGUCCUACACAGAAGGAUGU